rnacentral:rRNA from 1 species
GACGUAGGGAGCGAGCGUUGUCCGGAUUCAUUGGGCGUAAAGAGCGCGUAGGCGGCCGUGCAAGUCGGUUGUGAAAUCCCGGGGCUCAACCCCGGGACUGCGUCCGAUACUGCACGGCUUGAGGCAGGUAGGGGAGAACGGAAUUCCUGGUGUAGCGGUGAAAUGCGCAGAUAUCGGGAGGAACACCGGUGGCGAAGGCGGUUCUCUGGGCAUUACCUGACGCUGAGGAGCGAAAGUGUGGGGAGCGAACAGG